UACGUAGGGUGCAAGCGUUGUCCGGAAUUAUUGGGCGUAAAGAGCUCGUAGGCGGUCUGUCACGUCGGCUGUGAAAACCCGAGGCUCAACCUCGGGCCUGCAGUCGAUACGGGCAGACUAGAGUUCGGUAGGGGAGACUGGAAUUCCUGGUGUAGCGGUGAAAUGCGCAGAUAUCAGGAGGAACACCGGUGGCGAAGGCGGGUCUCUGGCCCGAUACUGACGCUGAGGCACGAAAGCGUGGGGAGCAAACAGG
rnacentral:rRNA from 1 species